AGAAGGCUGUCUCCUCUUUCCUCUUUUGACCUCGAAAUCCAGCGCCUUUGCCGCAAAUAAUUCUAUUUGAGGAGGGAGGGGAAAAUCUGGCAACGUGAGCGUGGAUUCGGAGCGCCCGUAUGGCGCUGUAAAUCUCCACUGUGUUUAAAGUUAGCUGUCGAAUUCUGCUAUCAAAUCGUCCAGCCUAGUUCGUUUCCCCUCAGGAAAAUGCGUAGGCGAGAAGGCUUUCUAUCAGCAGGAUUAUAAAAGUAAAAAACCGGGGACUUCGAGUUCAGAUCUCACUCUGCAGACGGUGUUAGAAAAUCAGAGAGGACCUAAUGAUUUCCGUUUGGAGGCGCGGGCCCAAUGCACCUCCGCGGCCACGUAGCAAGAAAGCGCUUUCAAAACUCUAGGAUAUUUCUAUUUCUCUCUCUCUCUCUCUCUCUCUUUCUCUCACUCCGUCUCCCUCUCCCUUUCUCCCUCUCUCCCUCUCUCCCUCUCUUCCGCUCUCUCUCUCUCCCGGGGUGGGAGGAGAGCAUUUAGGCUGA
rnacentral:lncRNA from 10 species